rnacentral:rRNA from 1 species
UACAGAGGUCUCAAGCGUUGUUCGGAUUCAUUGGGCGUAAAGGGUGCGUAGGUGGCAUGGUAAGUCGGAUGUGAAAUCCCGGGGCUCAACCCAGGAACUGCAUUUGAAACUCCCUUUCUUGAGUGUCGGAGAGGAAAGCGGAAUUCCUGGUGUAGCGGUGAAAUGCGUAGAUAUCAGGAGGAACACCGGAGGUGUAGACGGGUCACUGGACGGGUACUGACGCUGAGGAGCGGAAAGCGUGGGUAGCAAACAGG